UCGGAUAUGGUGUAACGGCUAACAUUGCCGCCUCUCACAGGAAACUGUAAAGGAUAUUCUCCGGGAUAUUUCAUUUGCGGAUUCAAAUCGCGGCAGCUCGGGGUUCGAUUCCCCGUAUCCGAA